rnacentral:rRNA from 1 species
GACGAACCGUACGAACGUUAUUCGGAAUUACUGGGCUUAAAGGGUGCGUAGGCUGCGCGGCAAGUUGGGUGUGAAAUCCCUCGGCUCAACCGAGGAACUGCGCUCAAAACUACCGUGCUCGAGGGAGACAGAGGUGAGCGGAACUUAGGGUGGAGCGGUGAAAUGCGUUGAUAUCCUAAGGAACACCCGUGGCGAAAGCGGCUCACUGGGUCUCUUCUGACGCUGAGGCACGAAAGCUAGGGUAGCGAACGGG